rnacentral:rRNA from 1 species
AGCGAACGCUGGCGGCAGGCCUAACACAUGCAAGUCGAGCGCCCCGCAAGGGGAGCGGCAGACGGGAGAGUAACACGUGGGAACGUACCCUUUGGUUCGGAACAACCCAGGGAAACUUGGGCUAAUACCGGAUAAGCCCUUACGGGGAAAGAUUCAUCGCCGAAGGAUCGGCCCGCGUCUGAUUAGCUAGUUGGUGGGGUAACGGCCCACCAAGGCGACGAUCAGUAGCUGGUCUGAGAGGAUGAUCAGCCUCACUGGGACUGAGACACGGCCCAGACUCCUACGGGAGGCAGCAGUGGGGAAUAUUGGACAAUGGGCGCAAGCCUGAUCCAGCCAUGCCGCGUGGGUGAUGAAGGCCCUAGGGUUGUAAAGCCCUUUCGGCGGGGAAGAUAAUGACGGUACCCGCAGAAGAAGCCCCGGCUAACUUCGUGCCAGCCGCCGCGGUAACAC